GAGGGAAGACUAGGAUGAUACCUGGACGGCAGAGACAGCAGUGAUCCAGUUCCAGUCCCACUUCCUCAACUGCCGGCUGGUGGUUUCCACCUGCAUGUGCUCAUCUCUUUACUCAUGCCCUAAGGACUCAACACCAGUGCCUGAUAGGAUCUACUGAGGAUGCUGAAACUCACUUGGUAGAUGUUCAAGCCCCCCACGCCUUCUCCAGCUGGUGGUCAGUAUUCUUAGGUCCAGCAUACCACCCACCAAGCAUCCUUGCCCGAUUGAGUAAGUGUUUUGUACCUGGACAAUUCAAAAGGGAAUGUGGAGGUUGCUCUAGCCUGUAUCUCCUCCUUUGGGCAGACCCAUAUCUCUGGGAUUCCACCAGCUCUUCUGACUAUGCCUCCUGUGUUCCCCACUCCCCGCUGUCAGGAAGCCCUUCCUUUUGCCCACUUUACAUCACUCACAUUGACGUUUGACCUCCACAUUGGAAUUCCAAUGUGCCCCCAUUUUGUGACCAGGACUAGGCCCCCUUGACAUCUACGAGCUCAUGUGUACAUGGGGUAACUCUGAUAAAGCCAGCAUUAUUAUGCUUCUGCU
rnacentral:antisense_RNA from 1 species